AUGUGGAUUGGAAUGGACAACCCUUGUGAUGAGCUUGACCGUGAUCUAUUCUACGCCUCGACGUGCAUAACCAUUGGCAACGGGGCAUGCGCCCCAUUUUGGGACUCCCCGUGGGUUAAUGGCGAGAAACCUUCCGUCAUAGCACCUCUCAUCUUCGAGGCUUCCACGAGGAAGAAAUGGAAGGUACAGGAGGCCAUGCAUGCGGGCGCGUGGCUGUCCAAAAUCAAGCUCCCCAACAACUGGACAAUGGAGCACAUCCGGCAGCUUGUCACGCUUUGGGCUCGGCUGAGGGCCAUCCCCCUCGCGGUGGACGCCGAGGACACCAUCACCUGGAAGCAUACUGCCAGCGGAAUCUACUCUGCCACAUCCGCGUACAGUGCGCAACUCCUUGGGCUGGUCAGCUCGCCCAUGGGCUUCGCCGUUUGGAAAGCAUGGGCUCCCCCUAAGAUGAAAUUCUUUGCUUGGCUGGCAAUCCAAAACCGAGUCUGGACGGCGGAUAGAUUGGAGAGGAGAGGGUGGCCGAACUGCGGCCUAUGUCCACUCUGCAAGCAGACGUUGGAAACGGCGAGCCACAUCUUCUUCAAGUGUCGGUACUCCAUUAGACUGUUGGGCCUGAUCAAAGGCUGGCUCAAGCUAGACUACCUCGACAUCUCCUCCUGGAUCACGAUGCGCUCCAUCAAGGACUGCUGGCUCAACAUGUCCAACUCCAGCAUGCCCAACCGGAAGGCGAUGGCUUCUCUUGCUAUGCUGACCUGCUGGACCAUUUGGUGCGAGAGAAAUGCACGGGUGUUUCGUCACAAAUCCACGCUUCCGUCUGUAUUGUUCUCCAACAUUAAGAGCGACGCCAACCUUUGGGUAAUUGCGGGUGCUAAGCACUUGGGUCAAAUCAUGCCGGGAGAGUAG
rnacentral:rRNA from 1 species